UGUAACCAUGUCCUGGAUUUAAAACUUUCGCCGCGAGGAUCUUCCUGUAUGAUAUUAAAAUUUGUGGUACGAAUAGAUAACAGAAUAACUGUCCUUCCCUGAUUAUGCAGGAUCGGUAUUUCAGUCUGUCGGAUAAAGGAAGAAGCUUAACACUGAUUACAUUUCGUACAGCUACAAAACACUCAUGAGAAGGGAAGAUUACAAAACAUAUCUUUGCAGUGUUGGUGAAAUUUGGGGUGGAUCAACUUCAGCUUCAUGCUGAACUUGAUAGAGUUCUAGAGGUCUGGAGAGGCACAGAAUAUCAUGUAGACGUCCUCGUCUCCAGACACUCCAGUGUUAUUCCGGAAGGAUCCCCUCCACCAGAUACAAAGAAUAUAAACAGAGUAAGAGAUUAAAGUUUAUCACUUAAGCGCUUCUGACUUUGACGUGAAGAGAGCUGAAGACCUAAUCAGACAACUCAGUGACACCGUUACCCCCACGUAACAGCCGGAUUUGCCGUGGAAUUUAGCUUUGACAUAGUCAACUUCAUAAGAAACUAAUGAUCGUCAGACUUAAGGGGGUAUUAGUGCUCUGCAAAUAUAUCUAGUUUCCCAUUUAGCCAGAUCCAAAGCCUUGUUCUGAUCCAUCCGUGCAGAGAAUGAAAGUUUUAGCUUGUAGUAGGUACGUGGAAUGUGUAUUUCACUGGCGUGUAACUGUGUCAUUUAAAUUGUUGGCUUUCCAGUGUGUGCCACUGCUAGUGUUAAACCAAUACUCGCCGUUAAUAAAGAAAGCAACUUCCAUUUUAAAA